CACCGACAGGGCUUCCCUCCAGCAGCCAGCCGGCCACAGCAUACACAGCAGACACAAAUACACAUGGAUAUAUGAGAGGCUGGGUCGCUCUGCAGUGACGUGAGGCCUGUUCAGUCUGUCAGCUGAGCUCAGGAUGGGGAGCCGGAGGAUUUCAUCUCAGCACUGACAGAUGGACGAGCAGACAGACGGACGGGCUGAUGGACGGACUGAUGGACCGGCUGAUGAAGCGUGGUGGCCAAUGACCCAUAGAGCCAAACUUGCCCGGCUUUACAAAUCCACCGAUGCAUGCUGCUGCUGGUCUGGACCCCUGCUCGAUUGUGUCUAAUCUGUUGGCAUGUAGAUGUGUGUCAAAGCACAUAGUCUGAGCCUUUUGCGUUACAUCUUAAGCAUGCGCAUUGUGUGAGUGCACAUGUUGCUCGAUGGCGUAUGUGUCCUUUUACAUGUAUAAAUGUACAUUUGUAUUGGAGCCUGUAUAUCUGCACGCAUGUCUCUCAACACAUCCCUCUAUUUGUGUACCUGCUGGCCUGCUUCUGUGCUCAGAUGUGCUGCUGAGCUAUCUGAUCAAAGCCCUGCUAAGCCGCGGGGGAGCCUCGCCACACAGCCUCGGAGCUGCAGCGGCGGCGGCCUUUGCAGAAGAAGUGUAAACAGCUAAGGGCAACAAGUGCUCCGAUCACACAGACAGAUAGCAGCUGUGAACAAGGACUGUGGCUCGCAGGUUCCUAUCAGAUGAACUGGACAUGUGGUGCUCGCGAGGAGGGUAAUGCAACAUGAAGACCCAGUUUUCUGGAUUUCUAUGGUUUAUUUAGCAGAGCAGCUUGAAAAGAAAUGUGUGUUCAUGUUACCAUAAUCUGAUGUGAUUGAUAUUAUUGGUUUGAGGCUCAUCUUGCAAGAAAUUAGUGAAUUUUGCAUUUUCUCUGUUUUUAAACCAUCACCUUAGUUAAUCCUGUUUUAGUGAUGCAAAUAUAUUUAUAUAUAUAUAUAUAUAUCUUUGUAUUUAAUUUAUUUUCUGUAUAGAGAGUUUUGAAAAGCAAAUUGAUCAUUCACAAGGCACACUGAAACAAAUGCCUGCAAACACUUGAAAUAAAGAAGAUAAGAACACA